rnacentral:tRNA from 1 species
GAUUGGAUAGCUCAGUCGGUAGAGCAGCUGCGAUAGCAGCCUGUCGCGGGUUCGACUCCCGCUCCAAACC